UAAAACCCCGCCCAGAACACUCUACUCCCCUCUGGCCUCCACUCUUUCCUAUCAAUUUGUGUACUGUACUGCUCGUUUCCCAGAAUCUCACCGAAAACACACACAAAGUCUCCGAAUAUGCCGAGAGGGUCAUCCGCAUCAGCUUUCCGAUGGCUUGACGUUAGCUUCUCGCUGCCAACGUCGUUCUUCCGGUGGCCGAGACUGUUCGCUUCGUACUUAACGCCGAGCUGGAGCAACAGCCUCAGCCUUAGCAGUUUGAGCAGCUUGGAACCGCGGCGGUUGGCUGCGCUUGUGCGGUGGCCGGAAGUCGAUUUCUCCUUUCCCAUUGUGGACACCGUCAUCUGGUCCUUAAUCUCCGCCAUAGAGUCCGUCGCCCUCGUUUCCUUCCUCUGCUUCUUCUUCGUCUUCUGCGGCUGCACCAUAUGAUGCGAGACGAUCACUGUCGUCAACUGCGGUACAUACAUAAUAUAUAUGUAUGUGUAGAAUUAAAUUAUAAAAAGAUGUUAUCAUGUCUAGUCAACUGAUUAUUUCGUUUUAAGUGGUUGUGGAAUCUUCAAUUUCUGGUUACCGGUGGUGUUGGCGGCGAAGAAACACCGUCAUAGAUCAUGAUGUGCUGUGUAGUCGUGGGUCAAAUUAUUGAUACAGCGGUGGUGCUCCUGCCCUGCGUCUUUCCGGCUGGAGGCAGAGGGUAGUUUUGUCUUUUCGCGUUCUCUUUUCAGAGGGUUUUGAUUUCCGGGGUAAGGUAGAAAUUGGGUCAGAAAGAGCGUUAAUUAUGUUUAUGUAUCAACAUUUUUCCUUGGGAAAAUGAAUUUAUUUUAGUAUAUACCAUAAUCUUUCCAUAAUUAUUGCGUGUUUUAAGAAUUGGUGAACUCAUAUUGGAUGGCUUAAUCUUGGGUAAAAGUGCCUAGAUAAUAUCGUUUCGAGUAAUGCUAUUUGUAAUCGGUGUCAUAGUCGUCAUACGUGAUAGACAUACGAUGA
rnacentral:lncRNA from 1 species